rnacentral:rRNA from 1 species
GACGAACGCUGGCGGCGUGCUUAACACAUGCAAGUCGAACGGAAAGGCCCCAGCUUGCUGGGGUACUCGAGUGGCGAACGGGUGAGUAACACGUGGGUGAUCUGCCCUGCACUCUGGGAUAAGCCUGGGAAACUGGGUCUAAUACCGGAUAGGACCGUGCUUUAGUGUGUGCGGUGGAAAGUUUUUCGGUGCAGGAUGAGCCCGCGGCCUAUCAGCUUGUUGGUGGGGUAAUGGCCUACCAAGGCGGCGACGGGUAGCCGGCCUGAGAGGGUGUACGGCCACAUUGGGACUGAGAAACGGCCCAGACUCCUACGGGAGGCAGCAGUGGGGAAUAUUGCACAAUGGGCGCAAGCCUGAUGCAGCGACGCCGCGUGGGGGAUGACGGCCUUCGGGUUGUAAACCCCUUUCGGCAGGGACGAAGCUUUUGUGACGGUACCUGCAUAAGAAGCACCGGCUAACUACGUG